CACCAUUAUCGUGAACGCCACUGUGGUCAAUUGAUCAACUACAAUGUCAAAUCUGUUUUACCAUCAAAUUAUCUCAGUAGUUGUCAAGGUAACAGGAAGUUGACGCCGACGGAGGCGGGAACGUCAGACGUCGCGAUGCACCUGUGACGUGCAAAUCGCCGUUGGUGGAGCGGCGUUAAGCCGUUUUCCUCCGAAAAAAAAAAUAUCAAAAGAAACAAAAGAAAAAAAACACAUAACGUUGAUUGAGAGAGAAGAUAAGCGGGUCUUCUUCUUAACGUCAAUGUAACACUAAGACUAGGACAACGAUGAUGACUAAAACGAGAACGACAAGGAACACGACGAAGACGAAGACGAAGACGAAGACGAAGACGAAGACGAAGACGAAGACGAUGAAG
rnacentral:lncRNA from 1 species